rnacentral:rRNA from 1 species
UACGGAGGGGGUUAGCGUUGUUCGGAAUUACUGGGCGUAAAGCGCGCGUAGGCGGAUCAGAAAGUUAGGGGUGAAAUCCCAGGGCUCAACCUUGGAACUGCCUUCAAAACUCCUGGUCUUGAGUUCGAGAGAGGUGAGUGGAAUUCCGAGUGUAGAGGUGAAAUUCGUAGAUAUUCGGAGGAACACCAGUGGCGAAGGCGGCUCACUGGCUCGAUACUGACGCUGAGGUGCGAAAGCGUGGGGAGCAAACAGG